UACAACCAUAUCAUCUUGAAACACCGGUUCCCGUACGAUCCUCGAAGUUAAGCAACGUCUAUCCUGGUCAGUACUUGAUGGGUGACCGCUUGGGAAUAUUAGGCGCUGUAAG